rnacentral:rRNA from 1 species
UACGUAGGGAGCAAGCGUUGUCCGGAAUCAUUGGGCGUACAGAGCGCGUAGGUGGCUGCAUAAGUCCGUUGUGAAAGUCAAAGGCUCAACCUUUGAAAGCCGAUGGAUACUGUAGAGCUUGAGACCGGAAGAGGUAAGUGGAACUGCGAGUGUAGAGGUGAAAUUCGUAGAUAUUCGCAAGAACACCAGUGGCGAAGGCGGCUCACUGGCCCGGUACUGACGCUGAGGUGCGAAAGCGUGGGGAGCAAACAGG